UACGUAGGGUGCGAGCGUUAAUCGGAAUUACUGGGCGUAAAGCGUGCGCAGGCGGUUUGUUAAGACAGAUGUGAAAUCCCCGGGCUUAACCUGGGAACUGCAUUUGUGACUGGCAAGCUAGAGUAUGGCAGAGGGGGUAGAAUUCCACGUGUAGCAGUGAAAUGCGUAGAGAUAUGGAGGAACACCGAUGGCGAAGGCAGCCCCCUGGGUCAAGAUUGACGCUCAUGCACGAAAGCGUGGG
rnacentral:rRNA from 1 species